AUUGAACGCUGGCGGCAGGCCUAACACAUGCAAGUCGAGCGGAUGAAGGGAGCUUGCUCCUGGAUUCAGCGGCGGACGGGUGAGUAAUGCCUAGGAAUCUGCCUGGCAGUGGGGGAUAGCGUCCGGAAACGGGCGCUAAUAACGCAUACGUCCUGAGGGAGAAAGUGGGGGAUCUUCGGACCUCACGCUAUCAGAUGAGCCUAGGUCGGAUUAGCUAGUUGGUGGGGUAAAGGCCUACCAAGGCGACGAUCCGUAACUGGUCUGAGAGGAUGAUCAGUCACACUGGAACUGAGACACGGUCCAGACUCCUACGGGAGGCAGCAGUGGGGAAUAUUGGACAAUGGGCGAAAGCCUGAUCCAGCCAUGCCGCGUGUGUGAAGAAGGUCUUCGGAUUGUAAAGCACUUUAAGUUGGGAGGAAGGGCAGUAAGUUAAUACCUUGCUGUUUUGACGGUACCAACAGAAUAAGCACCGGCUAACUUCGUG
rnacentral:rRNA from 1 species